UUUUUUUUUGUUUGUUUGUUUUUUUGCCUCCCCCAUGUCCAGUUUUCUUUUUCUUUUUUCUCCCUCUCUCUCUCUCUCUUCCCUGCCGCCCAUCCCCUGCCCCCAGUGGGUGAUUAUCCAGAUAUCCUUUGGAAGAAGGAGAGUUCUCUCUACCCUAUUUAUCUUUAUGAAUUGCUUCCUCUAGAGAACCUCAAAUCAGUAUUAUUAGGGUUAGCCUCCCCCACAGCAAUGGUGGUUUUAUAGGGUUUAAGGACCCUGGACUUCAGUCAGGUUUGAAUUAACCCCUUGAUAUACCAUACAGUUGCCAUGGGUGUUUCUCCCUAUAACCCUCAAGAUCAGGAUCAUUCUUAUGACAGAGGCAUAGGCAGUAGAAGCAAAGGCAUUUUGAAGGAUCCUAGUGAGCCAUCUGCUUUUAGGAGUGUGGACCUCCUCAUGUCACAUAUGACUGGUUUUUCCACUCUAUUGGCUGCUUUUUCACUUUCUAAUGAUUUAUCAUUCAUGAGCCAUCAUUCAAUAGGUCAAUAUAUCACAGAGGAUAUAAGUCUUUCCCCUGAGCCCUCUAUACAAUAGGGGGUAAUGCUGGUUGAGACACACGAUCAAUCUGUCACAGGGCCCAGGUGGUUCCCCUGAGCCUAGAGUCAUUCAGAGCUUAUGCUGAAAUUAAAACACAUUAUUCAUUCUAAGACACAGUUAACCUGAGCCAAGGCACCUGACACAGGGCCACAUUAAGGAAGUUACCAGUCCCAUACUCCUGUGAAUUAUCUAAACUCAGACUUAGGUAUAUUAAAUCUAUAAAGGAGGCUUCAGUACAACUCAGCAAAUGUAGCACAAAGAAGCUCAGCUCAAAGAUUGUGCUAGCCUGCAAGUAGUGACUCUUAAGUGCCUGCUUGUCUUCAGGCAGAAGACCCAGUUAGCAAGUCAUAGAAAGAGAAUAAAGAUCCCCAAGAUGGGGGUCAUAAUCUAGACAACCUCCUUACUGCAUCAAUUGUGGACCCUUGCAGAGGUAGAUAGAUCUUCACCCAAAAUUUGGUCUGCAGAAACUACAUACCAACCAAGAGGAUAUUUCAUAUCAAGAGGGUAUGAAAAAGUUUAUUAUGCAUAUGAGGCUUGCCUGAGACAGCAGUGUGUCUCCCAAGCAGGUCUGAAAAUGGCUUGAGAACACAGGGAAGGAAACUGGUGUUUAGAGGAUAGGGUCAAGGUGAGGGUUCCCAUGUAUAGUUUGAACUUCCCUUGAGCACCCAGGCUUCUUACCAACGUUCCCAGAUUUGAGGCAGAAGGGAAAAGAGGAGGGUUUAUGCUUUAAAGCGGAAACAUCAAAAAUGGGAUCAGUCUUUAUUACCAUACAAUGGAAUAUGAUUGUGCCAUAAAAAGGAAUGAAGUACUCCCCUUAAUGCAUGCUACAAUAUAGAUGGCCCUUUUAAAUAAUAUGCUAAAUAAAAGAAGUCAAACUCAAAAAGACAUAUAAUAUACAAUUCCAUUUAUAUAAAAUGUCUAGAAUAAGCAAAUUCAUAGAGACCAAAAGCAGAACAAUAGUUGUCAAGGUCCAGGGAUUGGAAUGGGGAGUGACUUCUAAUGGGCAUAGAGUAUCUUUCCAGGGUAAUAAAAAUGUUUUGGAAUUAAAUAAUGGUGAUGUUUGAACAACACUGUGAAAAUACUGAAAUGCACUGAAUUGUACCCUUUAGCAGAGUCAGUAUUUUGGUGUGUGAAUUUUAUCUCAAUAAAACAAUCAUAUUAGAUUUCUAUACAACUAUAGGUUAAAUUUGCAUAAAAACAUAGCAAAAGAAGUUGAAUUUUUGCAUACAGUAAUCUUCUUGAGAGCAAGGACUCUAAUUUAUUUCUGAAACCAGAGUGUAU
ensembl:lncRNA